rnacentral:snRNA from 1 species
AGUCCGGAGACGUCGGCGGGG